rnacentral:tmRNA from 1 species
GGGGUCGACUGGUAUUGACAGCAGGAUCUAUGGAAUUGUAAGCACGUCGUGUCAUGGUAUUGAAACACGUUAAAGGCCAUACCAACAUUUAAACGGCGAGAAUAACUACGCUUUAGCUGCUUAAUCCGAAUUAUAGUAGGAUGAGCCUCGGCACACAAGGUGUGCAAGCUUUAUGUCUCCUGAAAGCCUUGAUUCAUGGCGUUCAAUUUUGAGACAUCGUAAAUAUGGAUCUAGAAAUUCUAAGGCUUUGGUAGGAUUUUGAAAUUAAAGAAGCUAAGAUUUAAAUGGGCGGUUUUUAGUCAGUUUAUUUCCGACAAUUAAUUAAAAACUAAACGUGUAGAAAGCACUUUUUUAGCUUGUUUGGACGAGGGUUCGAUUCCCUCCGACUCCACCA